AUUCGGCUGACGAGUACCAAAGAGAACGAAACGUGUGUUCUGAAU
rnacentral:hammerhead_ribozyme from 1 species